UGCAGACGACGCAAAAGAAAAGCUUCUUCAGUCUCAAAGAAAAGGCGCUUAAUGCUAUUUGUCGUCCAAGUUCAAUCUUCUUGUGUCUCAAGUUUCAUGUGUUCAGUAUGUUGUUGUGCACCCAGUCCUCUAGAUAUUUUACUCAUCAACUAGCAUAAUGAAUAGCUCAACCCAAGUGAAUAAUGUGUUUGAUUAUUUUGUUGUAUGUGGACUGGAUUCUAUGAGAGGCUUAGUCCCCAAUAAUGAACAUAAUGCCCUCUCAGGCCCUCUAGAAGCUACCUAUUGCCCGCAAGUUUUAGCACACUAUCCAGAAAAUGUUGCAUGGAAUCCAUUUGAUGGUUCUGCUGUCACCACGCUAUGUAUGCCCUCAGGAGUUCACUUCUCUUGUGUUCCAAAAGAGUCUCAUGAUAACACCAAAGAACCUCAUUUUCAUCCUUUCAUCAUAACUAAGGAAAAUGGAUCUAAAGUUUAUGGGUUUUCCCUGGUCUUUAAUGAAGAAGUUGUUGAGGAUUCAAUCAUCAAUGCAGUCAGCUCUUUGCAGAAAAUGCAUGCAGCACAGAUUGUUGAGAUUGCUCCACACAGAUCCAAUUUGGAAGUCUUUGAAGAUCCUACCACUAGCUCCAAAUCUUUACCUAGGCAUUUUAAAGUCAAUAACACCCGUCUAUACGAUAAAGCCAAGUGUUCGGCAAAAUUCGAUGUUCUUCGUGAUUCCUUACUCGUUUCUAAAUGCAUAUGUCUUAUCGGUCAAUACCCCGUUGUCGAAGCAGCUAGAAAUUUUUUCAUCAAUUUCUACAGAUUGGCUGUGCAUUCCUCCGAACUAUCUACUCUGGGUGAUCACCCGUUGUCUAUGCUUAGUCCAGAAUCAUAUAUCCAUUAUUUGUUGUUCUCCGUUCCUCUACCAAGUCCUAAUCAGUGCAUAGUCAUUCCCAACGUUCCCAAUCUGGAGUGGACCCAGUCGUCGACCAUUACGAGCUCCACCCUUAUCUUUCAACGUCCUUCCGUUCACUCUGAACUUCCGCUGUUCGAGUACGAGAUCGUUCAAGUCAUUGAUCUUCUGGGGAUCGAUCAUCUUAUACAGUUAUGGACUUGUUUACUGCUUGAGAGCCAAGUGCUUAUCUAUUCUCAAGAUUUCAAUCGAUUGAUGUUAGUGGCCGAAUCCCUGACAACACUUUUAUUUCCAUUCUCUUGGCCCCAUGUUUACGUUCCCAUCUUACCGGCAGCCAUGUACAAUUUCUUGGAUGCUCCGGUACCUUUCCUGAUGGGAUUGCGCUCACUUCCUUCCGACGACGCUCGCAUUCCUUCAGAGGCUAACUUGUGCAUUGUGGAUAUUGACAACGAUCGAAUUACCAUUCCGGAAGACCUGCCGACUUUUCCACAACACAAAGAAUUAGCCGAUGAGUUAAGAGAAGUGCUUACCAAGUUGCAACAGACACCAAACACUACAAGUUCAUCCUCUACGCAAAAGAAAUCAGCACCAAACGCUACGAUACAAUCGUCAUCUUCGAACAAGCAUCGCCAGUCGUGGUCUCCGAUGGCGUUAGCCAGUGGCUCAAAUGCAUCUGUUCUCGAACGCUCGGAAGCUUUUCAACGGAUUUCGGCUAUAGCGAAACGCACAGGUGUUUUCAAUGAAAAUGCUAAAACUGGUUCGACAAACGGUGACUUAGAAAAACAACCCGUAACGGUUUCUAGCGAUUUGGAACGUUAUUUACGAGUGCAAAUACUCAACAAUGCUAUUCGCGAGAUUUUCUUGAAUCAAUUUGCUCACAUGUUUUCCGUUUACGAAUAUUUCUUUAAUCAACCUAAUCAGGAUAUGGAUUCGUGGUUAUCAAAUCGAGACCAAGUACAUCCGUUUGAUAAAACUACGUUCCUGUCGGAUCAGCCUGGACCGCAUCUCCGGUUCAUGUCAUCCUUCCUGGAAAGUCAAAUGUUUGCUAGCUUCAUUGAUGCCAAAGUCUUGGCCAAUUAUGGCCAAUAUAGUCACUCGGUUCGCAUAUUGGACGCUCGUAUCAAACUCUUGAAGGAUGGUUACGGUGAUUCUAUGGUUCGAACACCAGGCUAUGAACCGUGCACUUGGUACGAACAGACGGCCACGUUAUUGGAACGGCGUCUUCUGAAACCAUUGAUGAACGUAGUAACGCCCAUUGAAAUUCUUACGAAUAUGGACGAGCGGCCAAUUGUUAAAAAACAAAGAACCAAUAAGUUUUAUCCAAGUUUUCCCGUUCUUAAUAAUUCGAUGCUGAGCACCGCUCCUUGUUACGAAACCAUUGGGAAGAAAGGAGAGAAAUCGAGGCGGAAGGAGAAGGUGACACUUCAGAAAUCCUACUCUAUCGGUUUCGAAUCGGGAGGGAUAGCCGAAACGAUACGUGAUAGUAAUAAUCCCUCGUUGGCAGUGCCGAUUGCUCCUCGACCUGCUGUAAUAGCCCAAGGGAACUGGAAAUUCGUCGAACAACUUCUCCAAGAAUGUAAAACGAAAACCAAACGACUGUUAGUUGGUAAAAUGGGAAGUGAAGCUUUCGAAUUAGGUCAUGGACAAGUGUCAGUCUCUGGUGUCGAAGAUAACACUUUGAUUGCUGGACUCUGUGAUCUUUUAGAGCGCGUUUGGGCACACGGGCUGCAAACCAAACAAGGUAAAUCGGCUCUGUGGUCGCAUAUUCUACAUUAUCACGAUCUGAAAACAGCCCCGGCGGUCAAUAAACCCGUCAAAGCCUCUAGUCAAGCCCCAGCUUAUGCAUUCGUGACGUUGAGGAAAAGAUUACGGAAUCUUUCAGCGCCGUCGUACGAUGGCGAUGGUGCAGCCAAUAGAAGUCGCUCUAGCAAUUCGAUCGAUAACAACCGUCCUGGUAAUCCUCCGAAUCGAAUGAAACCAUUACCGGAAUCUCUGAUCUUUGAUAUGAGGAACGUUCAAAACAUGGCGGAUAUCAAAACCCAUUUGGGUUAUGCUCGCGCGUGGGUUCGAUUAUGCUUAGAGAAAAAACUUCUCUACGUGCAUUUAACCACUCUCUUGUCGGAAGAAAAUCUCUUAAGAACUUUGUACAAACGGUACGCUUUUCUGCGUUGUGAAGAUGAGCGCAAUCUCUUCUUAACAUACCUUUUGACGCUCAACGCUGCGGACUACCAUUCUUUUACACAUACAUAUACCAGCACUGUGAUAACGUACCGUGUUUUGAUCGUUCAAAGUCGCCAAUCAAGCAUGUCAACAUGCCGGCCUUACCUCUUGCUAAGCGGGACGUUGACCGACACUCAGGCUCUCUACUUCGCAAGCGACCGCCUGGAACUUCUCUUUCAGCAUAAAAAUCUUGGAAUACUCACGACUUUGCGAAUUGGACUCGAAGAUCAAAUCGGCAAUAGUCGUUGGUUGAUCGACCAUAUCAUUGUACGGAACGAAAUUACAGGCCGCGGCUUCAAAUUUCCAUGUGGCCGUUGGCUCGGUAAAGACAUUGAAGAUGGUUCUACAGAGCGUCUGCUAGUCGCUACGCAAUACGAUUGCAACACAAUGAGUGGAUCCGAUUUAGGAUCCCUGGAUCCUUCAGCUCAUGUUAAUGGUUCGCCAGCUCACAAUUCCAAUGUACCAAUUGGAUCACGUACUCGUUCACCGAGUGCGACCCGGACAGAAAGUUCACUCACCAACUCCCUUACAAAUUUGGCUGGAAAUCUCAAUAUCAACCUGAAAGGUGCUGGAACGCGUCGCAAAUUUACAGAAAGCGAAAUGCAGUGUUUGCUGGGCGAGGCUGUGAAUAAUCUUAUCAAGUAUUACCUCGAACCUACGGGAGAACGAGGUAACGUUACGGCGCUGCUUUGCGGAGAGUCGGGACUAGUUCCUUGCCUAGAGCUGGUCCUGCAUCAUGGAUUUCGUUCUUCUAGAAUUUUUAGCCGCAAUCUUUUCUUAUGGGACUAUUUACUGCAAGUUAGGGAUUGUUAUACGCAAGACCCACGUUCGGUAACGAGCGUACGAGACUAUGCGGACCCCUCAUCUGAUCGACCCGCACGCCGUUGGCUGUGCGACAUCAUCGAAAAGAUUCAACAUUACGGGCAUUCAUUAGGCAAGCGGGAUAAGCUACAAUUAUUCCUCUGUCUUGCUGCGAGAGAUCGGAUGCUCCAUCGGAUUAUUAGUCCACUGGCGUCUUGUUCUUCUACCUUAACACACUACGAUGAAAACUCGUAUUUAAGGGACAAGCGAUUACGCGAUUACCUACAACCUCUCUUGCAAACCCUAAGCGAAGAGAAGGUGAAAAUCAUUCUAGAGGCAUCCAUUACGCGGGGCAUCGAUUAGAGUUUUAAAUGAAUAACUAACUAUUCCUUAAGAUAAAUCUACGAUACAUUUUAUACUCGUCGAAAACGUAACACUCCAAUGUUAAACCAGUUGCAGAAAAAUAUUGGGGACUACGCACAGAUCUUACGCAGGACAUUUUCACGAUGUUGCAUCAUAGCUGGUUGCAGUGAAGGACUCACUCAUUGUUGCAAGGCCUGCAAACAACCGUGCUUGCCAUAAAGUGGAAGUUGGAUGCUCUAAUGUUGUACCGUUCCAGCUGCGACUUUGCUCUAUUCUCCCUUUCAAAUCGUCAUCUAU